UGGGGAAUUUUGGACAAUGGGCGCAAGCCUGAUCCAGCCAUGCCGCGUGCAGGAUGAAGGCCUUCGGGUUGUAAACUGCUUUUGUACGGAACGAAAAGACUCCUUCUAAUAAAGGGGGUCAUGACGGUACCGUAAGAAUAAGCACCGGCUAACUACGUGCCAGCAGCCGCGGUAAUACGUAGGGUGCGAGCGUUAAUCGGAAUUACUGGGCGUAAAGCGUGCGCAGGCGGUUAUAUAAGACAGAUGUGAAAUCCCCGGGCUCAACCUGGGAACUGCAUUUGUGACUGCAUAGCUGGAGUGCGGCAGAGGGGGAUGGAAUUCCGCGUGUAGCAGUGAAAUGCGUAGAUAUGCAGAGGAACACCGAUGGCGAAGGCAAUCCCCUGGACCUGUACUGACGCUCAUGCACGAAAGCGUGGGGAGCAAACA
rnacentral:rRNA from 1 species